rnacentral:sRNA from 1 species
UUGUUUUUUUAGUCAUGUUCCUCUUCAUUCUUUGUAUUCCUUUAUAGGUCACCAAUCGGACCCAUAGAUUCUCUAUUUUUUUUUUAAGGGAAAGUAUACAUUGCCUCACACUUUUGAAUUUUGAGAUUUCAAUAUAGCGGAUAAAAGUAAAAACUUUUUCUGUUCAAUCUCAAGUAUUUUAUUUUUGUAGG